AAAUUGAAGAGUUUGAUCAUGGCUCAGAUUGAACGCUGGCGGCAGGCCUAACACAUGCAAGUCGAACGGUAACAGGAAACAGCUUGCUGUUUCGCUGACGAGUGGCGGACGGGUGAGUAAUGUCUGGGAAACUGCCUGAUGGAGGGGGAUAACUACUGGAAACGGUAGCUAAUACCGCAUAACGUCGCAAGACCAAAGAGGGGGACCCUCGGGCCUCUUGCCAUCGGAUGUGCCCAGAUGGGAUUAGCUUGUUGGUGGGGUAACGGCUCACCAAGGCGACGAUCCCUAGCUGGUCUGAGAGGAUGACCAGCCACACUGGAACUGAGACACGGUCCAGACUCCUACGGGAGGCAGCAGUGGGGAAUAUUGCACAAUGGGCGCAAGCCUGAUGCAGCCAUGCCGCGUGUAUGAAGAAGGCCUUCGGGUUGUAAAGUACUUUCAGCGGGGAGGAAGGGAGUAAAGUUAAUACCUUUGCUCAUUGACGUUACCCGCAGAAGAAGCACCGGCUAACUCCGUGCCAGCAGCCGCGGUAAUACGGAGGGUGCAAGCGUUAAUCGGAAUUACUGGGCGUAAAGCGCACGCAGGCGGUUUGUUAAGUCAGAUGUGAAAUCCCCGGGCUCAACCUGGGAACUGCAUCUGAUACUGGCAAGCUUGAGUCUCGUAGAGGGGGGUAGAAUUCUAGGUGUAGCGGUGAAAUGCGUAGAGAUCUGGAGGAAUACCGGUGGCGAAGGCGGCCCCUGGACGAAGACUGACGCUCAGGUGCGAAAGCGUGGGGAGCAAACAGGAUUAGAUACCCUGGUAGUCCACGCCGUAAACGAUGUCGACUUGGAGGUUGUGCCCUUGAGGCGUGGCUUCCGGAGCUAACGCGUUAAGUCGACCGCCUGGGGAGUACGGCCGCAAGGUUAAAACUCAAAUGAAUUGACGGGGGCCCGCACAAGCGGUGGAGCAUGUGGUUUAAUUCGAUGCAACGCGAAGAACCUUACCUGGUCUUGACAUCCACGGAAGUUUUCAGAGAUGAGAAUGUGCCUUCGGGAACCGUGAGACAGGUGCUGCAUGGCUGUCGUCAGCUCGUGUUGUGAAAUGUUGGGUUAAGUCCCGCAACGAGCGCAACCCUUAUCCUUUGUUGCCAGCGGUCCGGCCGGGAACUCAAAGGAGACUGCCAGUGAUAAACUGGAGGAAGGUGGGGAUGACGUCAAGUCAUCAUGGCCCUUACGACCAGGGCUACACACGUGCUACAAUGGCGCAUACAAAGAGAAGCGACCUCGCGAGAGCAAGCGGACCUCAUAAAGUGCGUCGUAGUCCGGAUUGGAGUCUGCAACUCGACUCCAUGAAGUCGGAAUCGCUAGUAAUCGUGGAUCAGAAUGCCACGGUGAAUACGUUCCCGGGCCUUGUACACACCGCCCGUCACACCAUGGGAGUGGGUUGCAAAAGAAGUAGGUAGCUUAACCUUCGGGAGGGCGCUUACCACUUUGUGAUUCAUGACUGGGGUGAAGUCGUAACAAGGUAACCGUAGGGGAACCUGCGGUUGGAUCACCUCCUUA
rnacentral:rRNA from 1 species